GCCGAGGUGGCGGAAUUGGCAGACGCGCCAGCCCUAGGAGCUGGUGGGAGCAAUCCCAUGAGAGUUCAACCCUCUCCCUCGGCA
rnacentral:tRNA from 1 species